GAGACAGAAACUUUCAGUGGUGAAAGGGGUUGGGUUUUUCUUUUUUACCCUCUGAGGCUGGGCCCAGAGAAGCCGAGCAGAGCCGAGCCGAGUCGGUCCGCUCCAGUCUGCCUGUCCAACUGCCACUCGUCGCAACUCGACUUCCACCUCCCCACCGGGAGCUAAUUGAUGGCCCAUUAGGGAGCCGGACCCGUUCCCCUCCAGCCGGGAGCUGGUGUACAGCAGCAAUUCCCACUUCUGUCUGUCUGUCAGCUGACGGCCUGCGCUGCAAGUUACCUCGGUCCUCAUCCCUUCCCCCAGUCUCCAGCUAAACAAAGGGAGCGAAGAAAAAAGCACCCCAGGAAGUGCAAAGUGGAAAGCGACCCUCUUCCUAUCUGACGACACCGCCAAUUCCUCCGGGAUCCCACCUGAGAUUAAAGCCUGAAUUUCAAUAAAUCAGCUCUAAUGAAACCUCUGGCCCCGAAG
rnacentral:lncRNA from 14 species